rnacentral:tRNA from 1 species
CGGGAUAGCUCAGCUGGUA